rnacentral:antisense_RNA from 1 species
UCGCCGAAAUAUUCACCAUCGCCUAACAGAGCAAUCCGCAAAUCCUCGCCGUGAGGGCCUUUGCUGAUGACCUCAGCCUGUCCGCUAGCCACGAUGAAGAAGCGCUGCUUGUCUUUUCCUUCCUCUACGAAGAGUUUAUCGACGUCCACCUCCUUGGCCUCGAACGAGCUGACCAGUCGGUUCAGUAUUUCGUCAUCGAACUCAGAGAACAGAGGAAUGGCCUUCAAGUUCUUCGCCGUAAACGACGGCACGCCGUUGACAUAUUGGAUGGGCAAACGAUCGUUCUUACGUAACUCGACCUUCGUUCUGUUAACGCGGAACGUACCGCCACUAACCUGCACCCAGGGCAAUAACUUAAGGAGUAAUCUCGGAGUGAUGGAGCCCAUCUGUGGGGCCGUCUUGGUGGUGGUUGCCAGUCUUCUGGCUGUUGCUGUAGUUACAC